GGGGCAUUGCUGGCACAUGGCAUAUAGCACAUUGGUAGAUAUGCAGGUGAACAAGCCCUUGAUGGUGUGGCUGAUGUGGUUAGAUCCUAUGAUGGAGUCCCUUGAAUAGAUAUGUGGAUAGAGUUGGCACCGGGCUUUCUUGCAAGGUUUGGUUCCUGGGUUAGUGUUUUUGUUGUGUGGUGU